UACGUAGGGGGCGAGCGUUGUCCGAAGUUACUGGGCGUAAAGCGCGCGUAGGCGGGGGAUUAAGUGAGAGGUGAAAGGCUGGGGCUCAACCCCAUGCAGUGCCUCUCAUACUGGUCUUCUUGAGGGCGGUAGGGAGAAGUGGAAUGGCUGGUGUAGCGGUGAAAUGCGUAGAUAUCAGUCGGAACACCGGUGGCGAAGGCGGGUCUCUGGGCCGAAACUGACGCUGAGGAGCGAAAGCGUGGGGAGCAAACAGG
rnacentral:rRNA from 1 species